CUGGGGCUUGGUGGAGGAUCUGCUGGUGAGAAGAGGAAAGAGCUCUGGGAUGCAUAGGAAGCAGGCCUGAAGGACUAAAGGAAAAUAUAUUUCUUCAAGAAACUAAAGAAUAGCCCUGGGAUGCCAGUGAUUCCUCAUGAAUGAAGAGCCUUCAUAUUCUGGCAUGGAAUCCCCAUAGAGAAAGCUUAAAC